rnacentral:rRNA from 1 species
CAGUAGCCGCGGUAAUACGUAGGUGGCAAGCGUUGUCCGGAAUUAUUGGGCGUAAAGCGCGCGCAGGCGGAUCAGUUAGUCUGUCUUAAAAGUUCGGGGCUUAACCCCGUGAGGGGAUGGAAACUGCUGAUCUAGAGUAUCGGAGAGGAAAGUGGAAUUCCUAGUGUAGCGGUGAAAUGCGUAGAUAUUAGGAAGAACACCAGUGGCGAAGGCGACUUUCUGGACGAAAACUGACGCUGAGGCGCGAAAGCCAGGGGAGCGAACGGGAUUAGAUACCCCCGUAGUCCCUGUCUUUAUACAC